ACGUGCUAGAAGGUUAAAGAGGUGUUUGGAUGCUGUGAAAAUGAAAUCCCAAAGCCUUUUCAGAUACCUUGUCACUAACUCAUGACUCCCCAGCAAGACGUGUAAAAGAAGCACAGCUCUCUCCAGGGAAACUGUGGGAACUCCACCUGUGUGUAUGGAUUGGAAUAAGAGGAAACAGGAUACAAACAGAGAAGUUGAGUGGAAAUGGUGACAGUGGCUGUCGGCUGGGGCAAUGCCUGGGCAUUGAUGGCUUUUCUUUAUGGUACUCAUGUCUUCCACCAGCUCUGUCUACUGUUAGUCACUGUGAACAGAGGCCAGAGAGCACACGCUUGAGAAAGAAAAUACACUCAACGGUGGUUAUAAAAGAGCAGAGUUGAAGAGGAGGAGCCUGAGAUGAGAAGCAAUGGUCUCUCCCCAUCUACCGCAUGUGAGGUGGCAAGCGGCCCCUGGAUUCUCCAGACAAAAAUACUGGAGUGGGUUGCCAUUUCCUCCUCUGGAGGAUCUUCCCAACCCAGGGAUCAAACAAUAUCUCCAGCACUGUCAGAUGGAUUCUUUACCAUUGAGCCACCAGGAAAGCCACCGUCAAAGU
ensembl:lncRNA